AUUGGUCAAUCCUUUGAUUUUUAAUAGGGAUGUGCGCAAAGCGUUUCGUGCAUAUCCGAGACAGUAGAGAAUGGGCACUUCAAAAGGAGAAAGGCAGGUUUUACCGGCCCCUCUGUUUGCCGGCUGGAUUGGUUAGGAACAGGAAGUUCACUGUUCCUGUCUGCACAUGCUUACAUCCCAUUUCCUGCUGAGAACAAGGAACUUCGUGUUCCUAAGCAAAUACAGCCAGCAAACAAAGAGCCUAGCUGCUUAAUGCUGACAGCGCCACUCUGGGGUGGCAGAGGACAAGGGAGCUGCAACAGAGGGGUAGGUAAAUUCUUGAUAAUGGGAUUUCUCCUCUACCCCUUGGCAGCUGCUUUGUGGAGCACCAUAAGAUUCCAUCUUAUACCCUAUGCUAUUUAACAUGUAUCUGAAACCACUAGAUGAUGCAGGCAGGAGAUUUGAGGCACAUUCAAAAUGCUGGUUUUCACCUAUAAAGACCUAAAUAACUUGAGAGCAGGGUGUGUGUGGGAGCACCUGCUUCCGUAUGAACUUGCCUGCUUGUUCAGGUCAUCAUCUCAGAUUAUGCCUCGUGUUCUACCUCCACUGGAGCCUGGAUUAACUGUUACCAAAAAGCAGCAGCUCUUUGUUGGUUACCCAUCUAGGAUGCCCUUCCAAAGGAGAUUCGACAAGCCUCUUCCCUCCUCUCUCUUCAGAGAUGGGCAAAAAUGUCUCCUUUCUGGAGAGCUUCUGCUGAGAAUGGGGCUAAGACAGACAGCUCCAUGUUCCUUACAUUUAGUUUUUAUUUUUGUUUUAUUCCUUUUUAUUUUAUUUAUUUAUUUUUACUAGGAUGUGUUUGAAUUUUGUUGUGAAGUAUUUUGUUGGAUACCUGUUGGAGUGGAAAUAUACACAGACACUUUCUAUUUUAAAUAAUUAAUACAUUAUUUGUAUGUUUACUCAGAAGUCCCACUGAACCCCACUUCCCACUGAGUUCCACAGAUUUCAGUAACUGGAACUCGAUCCCAAGAAACUGUGCAUAGGAUUUCAGCCUAUAAGUGAUAAUUAGUUGCAUUGAUUCCUGCGAAACUUACUUCCCAAUAAGCGUAUUUAACAUUUAAAUCUAAGUUGAGGAAUCAUGACAUCACAGCUGCUUCAUGCACUCCUAUUAUCUCAUCAUAAUAGGAGUGGACACUACAGUAAUGGGAGGCGCUAUGGCAAUGCCAUGAAUCAACAACACAUGGGCAGCUAUGGAAAUGCCAUGAAUCAUAACAACACAUGUGUGGCUGACUCUUACACCAGGAUUAUGUGGGAUCCGGUUACAUAUUCACUAACUAAUCACACUGGCUGACAUCCUAACUAAAUUUAUUAGAGGAAGUCCUUUGAAAUGUAGUAGUCCUUUAGACUACUCCCUGAGAAGUACUAUUGGGAAAUUUAGUCCAAUGUUAACCACUGAAUUGUUGGCUGGUAUACAGAAUUUGUAAUGCUAGUGCAUGCCUACAAACUGUAGUUACCGUAGCUGGUAAAAUAAUGUCUGCCUUAAUCUGGGAACUGGAUCUCAAUCUGCUAAUGUCUAAUGUGCACUGAAUGUUUAAAUCCAUAAAGGUUUAGCAUUUAGAGAACAAAAGUUUGGCAAUUAAAUUUGAAUAUGUGCUUUCCAAGUUGCAAGGAAAUGUAUAUUUUAUAUCUAAAAAUACUUUGGCAGGCAUGCUAUCAAACCUCAUUAAAGUGGCUUUCAGUUGA